UUGAACAUGUACAGCAAGCAGA
rnacentral:miRNA from 1 species